rnacentral:ncRNA from 1 species
UGGGCUUUAUGCAAGAGGGAAUGCUGAAAAAGCUCCGAUGCUUCUGCACAUACUUGUGUCAAAUUCUCCCUACCUGAGGUGUCCUGAGGCAAGCCCAGGGAGGACAGAAACUUGAGCAGCAUAAAGGGCAAAAGUACGCUUAGUCAUGAUUUUCAGUGGGAAUACAGGCCGUGCUAGUGCGGCCUCAGGAUCUUCUGACUUUCUAGGUUUUAAGCAAGAGAUGUCAGAAAAGUUACCA